rnacentral:lncRNA from 1 species
GGGCCUGUGGAGUCUAAGGACUCCAAUGAAAGCAGCCUGGCUGAGCUGUGUCCUGAGGACGGAGUUGCAGCCCGCAGGGGAGAGGAGUCCGCCAAGGUGAGGACCUGGAGGCACAGAGCACGACCCAACCUGCUGGCGAUCACAUGGCUCGUGGGUGGAGGAGGGGGUGCAGCGCCUGGGCGGCCUGGCUUGGGGGGCCCACGCUCUGCUGCGACACAGUGGAACCACCCGCAGCCGUGUGCAGAUUCCAUGGACGGGUGCAUGUAAACCCUGCAGCCCAGCACCCGAGCCCUCCAAAACAUCAUCACCAAGAGACCUGGCUUCGCACCUGGCUCUUUGCUCUUCAAGAAGAGCUGCCUCUCUUUCUCUGGUCCUAGGCCAAAACAUUCCAGAGAAGGCACAGUCCAGGGCACAGCUCUGGACAGGCAGCCCACCCCUCGCUGGCUGGAGUGAAAGGAGGAGCAGAUCCCAGGAAGACAGACUGAGCAAACAUACCAGAUGCCAUAGACAUCUCUCAUGGCACCAAGCAAGAGGCCAGAUUCUAGGUAUGCAUGGGGGAGGGCAGAAGAGAGAGGGCGGUAGAAGACCUGUCGGGGUGGGGUUGGGGAAGAGUGGGGAAAGGGUCCUUCUGUAGCAUAAGCAUGCUAAUUGGAAGGACAUUCAGUUCUGCUCGCGAUCACAGGUGCCUCAGGCCAUAUAUGUUUCCUGCCAAUUUCCUUUCAACCUUAACUAAUAAGUUCUCCGUAAAUUCUGUCUGAUCUAGUGGGCAAAGUAUAGUACCAUUUUCUGUUUAGCUGUGCUUGGUAUAGCGAGAAAGGUUCCCAAAAAUGUUGUUGCCCUCAUCCCUUUGUCUGUAAGUGUCUAUCCAGCACGAACCCUUUCUUAAUAGGCUCCCUACGAAAUGUGGGAGGUAGUAAUAUUCACCAGCAGUAGCUGCAUCUUUUUACUUGAUAGAAUAUAUCUUCUGGCGGUAAACUCUAGCUGCGAGUGUGAUGGGAGCGUAUUUGCUGUAGAAGCUGGACACAGCGGCCGGGUCUUAGCUUUCCCAGAACGGAUCGCCAGCCCGACAAUGGUGCUAACAGGGAUGUGCAGUGGAAAUGACAGGACUUUGGAGCUAGAAAGCCUCAGACUCGAAUCCAGGUUGUAAAAUAAGGACGAUAAUGACUAAGAACUGACUGACUAAGGGCUGCAAUGCGGCAAGUGGUGCACCAUCCAGAUCACCCUUUGUGACUAAGUCAUUUGUUCCCCCAGCUGCUGAGGGUCCUGGGGCUGAUCCCUCACCACCGAGACCCUUCCUAUGGUUUAUUCAAUCAGAAUAAUUUCAAAAUAACUGAAGUCCUUUACUAAUUCUAUUAGGAAUAAGACUUUGGGUUGCAAGUUGCAAAAAACCCUGUUGAGAUUGUUUAGGGAAAGGAAAAGUUUAUCUGUGAAUCCAUAUGGUUGGUGGGGAAGGUUCAUGAAACUGUGAUGUCACGGGGGGGCCGUUCAUGCGUAUGGGAACCAGGGACGCGGUGAAGUCAUCAGGACCUAGACCCUCUCCUCCUCCUUCCUUUAUGCUGACUCCAUUCUCAGAUAGUCUUUAACCACGUGGCAGUGAGAUGGCUGCCAUCUGCAUUAUCUACACUAAGGUUUCA